rnacentral:rRNA from 1 species
CCUACGGGAGGCAGCAGUGAGGAAUAUUGGUCAAUGGGCGAGAGCCUGAACCAGCCAAGUCGCGUGAGGGAAGACGGUCCUAUGGAUUGUAAACCUCUUUUGCCGGGGAGCAAAAAGCGGUACGCGUACCGCAUCGAGAGUACCCGGAGAAAAAGCAUCGGCUAACUCCGUGCCAGCAGCCGCGGUAAUACGGAGGAUGCGAGCGUUAUCCGGAUUUAUUGGGUUUAAAGGCUGCGCAGGCGGCGAGUUAAGUCAGCGGUAAAAUUUCGGGGCUCAACCCCGACAAGCCGUUGAAACUGGCGUGCUAGAGUGGGCGAGAAGUAUGCGGAAUGCGGGGUGUAGCGGUGAAAUGCAUAGAUAUCACGCAGAACUCCGAUUGCGAAGGCAGCAUACCGGCGCCCAACUGACGCUCAGGCACGAAAGCGUGGGUAUCGAACAGGAUUAGAUACCCGGGUAGUC